CCUACGGGAGGCAGCAGUCGAGAAUCAUUCACAAUGGGGGAAACCCUGAUGGUGCGACGCCGCGUGGGGGAAUGAAGGUCUUCGGAUUGUAAACCCCUGUCAUGUGGGAGCAAAUUAAAAAGAUAGUACCACAAGAGGAAGAGACGGCUAACUCUGUGCCAGCAGCCGCGGUAAUACAGAGGUCUCAAGCGUUGUUCGGAAUCACUGGGCGUAAAGCGUGCGUAGGCUGUUUCGUAAGUCGUGUGUGAAAGGCGCGGGCUCAACCCGCGGACGGCACAUGAUACUGCGAGACUAGAGUAAUGGAGGGGGAACCGGAAUGCUCGGGGUAGCAGUGAAAUGCGGAGAGAUCGAGAGGAACACUCGUGGCGAAGGCGGGUUCCUGGACAUUAACUGACGCUGAGGCACGAAGGCCAGGGGAGCGAAAGGGAUUAGAUACCCUUGUAGUC
rnacentral:rRNA from 1 species